rnacentral:lncRNA from 1 species
GAGAAAACCAUCAUUACAUACUAAUAACAACCUUCAUAGCACCAAAAAGAUCAAGAAAAAAAAGGAAAGAAGCUUCACAUAAAAGAAAAAAUUAUGAGCACAGUGUAACUGUAUAUCUUCUAUGACUAUUCUUUUAUACAAAACUAAUGAUAGAAACAGAUAUAAGUAGCAGAUUUCUUUUUGUGAUGUUUCAAAGACAUUUUUCCUUGGUCAAGGAGGAUGGCUCUCUUGUCUGCA